UUCAUAAAUGCCAAUGAUGAUUUCCUUGAUAGGUUUGGAACCUGAGGAGAGGUGAGUGGAUGUUGUUGUGCCAGUUGCUGUCUCAUUUGUCCAGCAUUUAUCCGUUGCUGAGCAUAACUUAGAGCACCAUUAGGCCUUAGUUGUGAGCUCAAAUUGAGUGACCCCAUCAUUCCCAUUGCUUGCAUUCCCUGCAAAGGCUGCCCCGGAGAAUUACCAGGAUGGAAUUGAGACCC
rnacentral:misc_RNA from 1 species